AGCCUGGCUGACACAGCAAGACUCCGUCUCAAAAAAAACAAAAAAAGCACUUACUGGACACCUCCACCUGGAUGUGCCACCACCCUUGGCCUUGCUGGGCCCAGGAGGACCUUCUGCUUCCUCCCAAACCAACAUCUUCUGUGUUACCUAUUCCCGUUCGUGAUGGACUUCUGACGGGCCUGGUCACCCCGGCUCUCUGGGUGUCAGACUCGUGUCUCAGUCAGAAGACUUUCCCUGCUGACGUACGUUCCCUCUAAUUCCACCCUGGCAUUUGUUUCCCAGAAGUCUGGCCUGGGGGCUUUGGAAGUAGCAAGCAGCAAUACAGUAGCAACAAUGAGAGGUGGAGCUGAUAGAAGACACGGUCACUUUGGCUAGGGGUUGGCCUGCACGAGAUGGCGAGAUGGUAAGAUGGCGUGGGUGUGUCCAUCCGAGGUCUCUGCUUCUGGGAGACAAGAUUUCCAUGCAUGAAAUAGAGUCAUGUUUCAGCCCAAGACCGAAAGGGCUGCCAGGGUUAAAGAACUCAGGGCUGCAGAUCAACUGGGAUCCGCUACAUUCAGAGGACAUUGGAGUUUGGAUCUUGCUCAUGGCUGGCAAAGUGUUUAGAUCCUUUUGAAUAUAAGUGGUCCCCUUCUUUUUUUACAUCUUUUACAGAAUUGUCCAGUCUUAUUUCGGGGGCUGGCGGUGGUAUUUGCUCAGUCAGUGAGCUAGAAGCUGUGAGGCCUCACCCACAUUCCCUUUUUUGGGCCAGCACUCCAGCCCCAGCCGCCAGCGCUCAUGGCUGCCCCUUCUCUGGGAUGUCAUCCUUGGCUGGCGGGAGCCAGUUUGCUCCAGGUUUCUGCCAUCCUGCCCCUGCCCCUCAUGACAGAUGCAGAGGCACAGAGGGUGCCCCUGUAUCUCAGGAGGGGUGAAUCUGCCAUGGACACCUGCUGCAUGGAUCAGGCUAAGAUCAGACUUCUGGAAAUCCUCCCCGCUCAGCUGCAUCUCCUUCCAAGCUUUGCUUCACUACUUGCCUUGCGAGUCCUUCCAGAAGAGCAUUCCCUCAUCAAACCACGGGCACCUGAAUUCCCACCUCAGACUCUGCUCCAGGGGCGCAGUGUCUACGGAGGCGACGCUGAGGAUGGCUUCUCAGGUUGGGUCACUCGCCCAGCCACGAGGACCUGACUUAAAAUUGUUGGUGCAUCCUAAGUGUGACCCAGGGACCACCUGCGUCAGAAGCACCUAGAAUGCUGUGGAAGCAUCUUAAAGGCAGAUUCCUGGGCUCAGCCAUGGUUCUGCUGAAUUGGAAUCAACUGGUGAGCCCGAUAAUUGGCAUUUUCAACAGCUUCCAAUCGUACUCUGGAAUAUUCCAGCUUGUGUCCCCGGCUCACUGUUUUUCUCAUCCUCCCUCACUUCCUGCUGAGUACAUAUGUAUUUUGCUACUUUUAGAGAUACUUUUACAAUAAAGGCACUCUUGAAAGCAUUUAAUCAAUUGGAUUGUG